UUACAAUUCGUGAUAGGGUCCAAGUCUAAGGGCGUGCUCUCUUCCUAAUAACAUUGGAAGGCGAGUCGACAAAUAAGGUGGCUUAAGUGAUAUGCAUGUUCAGACUUGAUAAGAAGCAGGGUACGAUCACCAGGAAUGCUUGACUGUAUACUUGGAGGAGCUGUGUGAUCUUGCGGCUUAUACUUAUAUGCUUUUUAUUAUUUCUCAUGUAUUAGAUCAUGUAAUUCUUGUACUUGUUAAAUUCAGAGACAUUGGUUUGUAUAAGUCAUUAUGGGUAGCUUCUUGUAAAUUUGAAUGAUAAUGAAAUUUUCCUUUAA